rfam:Xenorhabdus nematophila ATCC 19061 chromosome, complete genome
UUCUAUGGCGGUUCAGGCGGGGGAGACUAACGUCUCGCCGGUUGAGUGUACCCGGUACCUGAGAAUCCCUGUCUUGAAUCGCCACCACU